AUUGAACGCUGGCGGCAGGCCUAACACAUGCAAGUCGAAUGGUAACAUGAAACAGCUUGCUGUUUCGCUGACGAGUGGCGGACGGGUGAGUAAUGUCUGGGAAACUGCCUGAUGGAGGGGGAUAACUACUGGAAACGGUAGCUAAUACCGCAUAACGUCGCAAGACCAAAGAGGGGGCCCUUCGUGACUCUUUCCGUCAGAUGAGCCCAGAUGGGAUUAGCUAGUAGGUGGGGUAACGGCUGACCUAGGCGACGAUCCCUAGCUGGUCUGAGAGGAUGACCAGCCACCCUGGAACAGAGACACGGUACAGACUCCUACAGGAGGAAGCAGUGGGGAAUAUUGCACAAAGGGCGCAAGCCUGAUGCAGCAAAGCCGCGUGUAUGAAGAAGGCCUUCGGGUUGUAAAGUAAUUUAAGCGGGGAGGAAGGAAGUAAAGUUAAUACCUUUGCACAUUGACGUUACCCGCAGAAGAAGCACCGGCUAACUCCGUG
rnacentral:rRNA from 1 species